rnacentral:rRNA from 1 species
UCGAGCGCCCCGCAAGGGGAGCGGCAGACGGGUGAGUAACGCGUGGGAACGUACCCUUUACUACGGAAUAACGCAGGGAAACUUGUGCUAAUACCGUAUGUGCCCUUCGGGGGAAAGAUUUAUCGGUAAGGGAUCGGCCCGCGUUGGAUUAGCUAGUUGGUGGGGUAAAGGCCUACCAAGGCGACGAUCCAUAGCUGGUCUGAGAGGAUGAUCAGCCACAUUGGGACUGAGACACGGCCCAAACUCCUACGGGAGGCAGCAGUGGGGAAUAUUGGACAAUGGGCGCAAGCCUGAUCCAGCCAUGCCGCGUGAGUGAUGAAGGCCCUAGGGUUGUAAAGCUCUUUCACCGGAGAAGAUAAUGACGGUAUCCGGAGAAGAAGCCCCGGCUAACUUCGUGCCA